UGAAGAAGAUUUAGAUAAUCUUGAACAAUUUGAAGCGGACUUUAUUAAUACCGGAAGAGAGCCUUGCAUCGUUGACAUGUAGAAGUGUUGCAGAACUUGAAAGCGUGCCAGGAAUCAGGAUUGAGUGCGAUGGCC